GACGUGAGGCGCGGAGCGUUGUCCGGAUUUAUUGGGCGUAAAGAGCUCGUAGGCGGCUUGUUGCGUCGGCUGUGAAAACCCAUGGCUCAACCGUGGCUUGCAGCCGAUACGGGCAGACUAGAGUGAUGUAGGGAGACUGGAAUUCCUGGUGUAGCGGUGAAAUGCGCAGAUAGUCAGGAAGAACACCCGUGGCGAAGGCGGCUCCUCUGGGCCGGAACCUGACGCUGAGACGCGAAGGCGUGGGAGCGAACGG
rnacentral:rRNA from 1 species